GACGAACGCUGGCGGCGUGCCUAACACAUGCAAGUCGAACGGAGUUUCCAUUUAUGGAUUCUUAGUGGCGAACGGGUGAGUAACGCGUAGACAACCUACCUCUUAGAUGGGGACAACACUGCGAAAGUGGUGCUAAUACCGAAUGUUGUAUCGAGAAUGCAUAUUCUUGCUACUAAAGAUGGCCUCUAUUUAUAAGCUAUCACUAAGAGAUGGGUCUGCGUCUGAUUAGCUAGUUGGUGAGGUAAUGGCUCACCAAGGCGACGAUCAGUAGCCGGUCUGAGAGGAUGAACGGCCACACUGGGACUGAGACACGGCCCAGACUCCUACGGGAGGCAG
rnacentral:rRNA from 1 species